ACUGAAAAUUACUGAAGUGCAUUGAUGUUUGUCAAAUCAGGCUAAUAACUGGUUCACUUUAAAAAUCCAGGGCAAUAGUAAUUAUAUAGAUUUGAAACUUAUGUAUCGUGUGGAAAUUAUAACUAAAGAACGUUGACAAAGAGAUUUGUAUUUCAGGGUACCUUCCUUUUAUGAAAAAUUAUGUUUAGUACUGAAUAAUCCAGUUUUUAUUUACGCAGUUUACAACAAUAUGAAAUGUUAUGUGAUGGUAUUGUCUGAAAUGUUCCUUUUUGUCAGCUUUAUUAAUCAAGGUCUUCAAAACAAGAUCAUAUUUUCAAUUUAUGGUAAAAUUAAAGAAUUCAACAUGAACACUGGAAACGUAUCAGAAAUCUUAAUCGACCAACAGAGUUACAUACAUAGUUUUGAUUAUGACUCUAACAACGAAUACAUAUAUUUUCCAAGAGCUGACAAAAACGAUAUAUUGAGAUUUCGUUAUCCAUCAGAACAAGUUUACAUGACAGAAACAGUGACCCAGGCAAGAAGGCCAAUAGGUGUCGCUAUUGAUCCGGUAGGCAAUCAUGUAUAUUGGACAGAACGAAUGGCACCAGAAGAGCUUAAGCGAUGUAAUUUCGAUGGGUCAAAUAAUAUAUCAAUACUUCAAAAUGGUCAACUAUAUGCUCUUACGUUAGAUUAUCGGAACAGAUGGUUGUAUUACAGUAUAUAUCCUACAAAUAGUGCAAUAAGACGAUCAAGAUUAAAUGGAACAGAAACUCAGACAGUAGUAAAUGUUUCUACAGAACAAGUCACUGGUUUGAGUAUAGAUUAUAAUGGUGAUAGACUGUUUUGGCUUGAAAGAAAGAGUGGUAAUGUGAAUUCUUCCAAUCUUAAUGGAACUGACGUUGUCAAAAUUGUCAGCACAAACGCAAACGAAAACUUGGGAAUACACGUACAUAAUAGCGACAUAUACUGUGCAAAUGGCAAACGAAUUCUACUGGUCACAUUAUCACCCAGAACUAAAACAAAUGUCAUGUAUUCUGAUAUAGAGAUGAUUUACGGUGUACUUUUUUACAAGGAAAAGGGUAAGUGUAUACCUGAUACAAAAAGCAUAUAAAUAUUCGUAGUAAGUCAAGCGCACGUCCCACGAGCAUAACAGUUAUUACGACCAAAGUCAAAUUAAUAGGAAGUUUAACCGCAUAAACAACCAAGAGAUUCGUAAAUGUAGUGCAAAAUCUUGCUUCUACGAGUAAAAGGAGAAAUUGGAUAUACGUCAAUGAGGCAACAACCAAACGGCAACUUUAAUCGGGAUUAUAAAGGUCUCCAUGUUGCAAACGUGUCUGUAUAAAAUACCAGGCUCUGAAUUGUUUUGAUUCUAUAACAUUUUUGAAUGAAUUAAACAGAAACAGAAUCAGUCAAAGAUCCGCUCGGAACACCACGUUAUAUGCGCUUUUUAUAUUUUGAUUACAUUCCAAAAUUAUCGCAAUUUCUGUUUUUGGAUAACAUAUUUACGGUAAGUAUUUCUAACUCAAUUAAUGUAAUAGAUGGAUUGCACCGUGCAUUUAAGUAACUUACAGGUAUUAAAUGACAAACAUUAUAUUAACUUAUCAUGUUCUUUUUCAUUAUCAUUUUGUUACGGAAGAGCAACUUGUAAAAGACCGUUUUAUUUUUGUUUGUACAUGUAGUUUUGUAUUAAUCAUGAUUAUUAUGAUACAUUUCAAUGUUUAUUUGCAUCUUUUUCUUUUAUUUAUAUAUCAGUGUUAUACUAUGUUAUGUAAUUGCUAGUUGCUUGCGCUUCUUUGCACAUGUUUAUUUAUUUAUUAACACUAACCACUUGAUAACUACAAACAUUUACAAUCAAAAUAUACACUAAACUCUUUAUUCAAUAUCUAUCAGGGUCCUUACUACGAGGUCUUUUCCUGGCAUUGUUAUUUUGUGAUGGUUAAUCUGUAGAGAUCACAUAAUUGUCACAUGAUAUUUAACAGCUUAAUAAUGUUGCAUAAUUUUAUAUACUGUCGUGUACAUGGUGUAGUUCGUAGAUUUAUAACAUGCAUUACUAUAUCGUUCUAUUUUAUCAUUUCUUUUACUGUUUUAUAGUUGUUACGAAAAUAUGUUACAUAUGUCUAACAAGAUAUUAAUUUUAAUCUUAAGCGUUACUUAUAUUAAAAAUUUGAUAUACUCAAGCUUGCUUGGUCUUUAAAUGUGAGUAUUUUUAAACAUGUAUAAAGUUACCAAUGACUGCAAAUAACGUUUACGUUUGUAUACUAGUAUUUGAAUUUUACAUAGAUAUAAGAUAUGCAUAUAUACUCAGAUAUUGAAUUGUUCUCAGUAUCAAAUAUAAACUAAGCUCUUAUCUUCUUUCAUACCGUGUUUGUCGGUAGUAUUACUAGCCAGCUGUUACUUUAAACGACAGUACAUAGUGGGUACGAUUUCUUUUCUAAAAUAUUCAAGAUAUAUGGGCAUGUGUUUCUUUCAAUUAUUGUUAUAUGAGAAGAUUUAUUUAUAGCAUCACUUUCCGAUAUCACUCAAUGAGCACAUGCACAACUGUAGGCAAGUUCCAAAAUUGCAACUGUUCAUUAAUAAAUGUAUCUGAAAUAUUUAGAUACUGCAAAAAACAAAGUGUAUGCAUGUGAUAGUAUAUUAUAAACACAAACAGGAAAGCUCGACAUUCGUCAGUAGACUGGCAAAAUCAUAGCAAAAAAGAAAAAAAAAACCGACUGACAACACAAACCUCACAAAGUCGUCUUGUAUAUAUAAGGUGAUCCGGAAAGGUUAACAUAUCCUGCUCCACAAGCUGCCCCCGUAGCUUCAACGCAUUUAAUAGAACAGUCCGCUAAUAAACGAGAAACAAAACCAAGGAUAAAACCCUGAUAUCAAUAACAUGAUGCGUGUUAUAACAAUUUAUUUUGCUAAGUUUUCGUUUAGAAUUUGUAAAAGUAUGAUAAAGUACUUCUGCCAUAAUUGUGUGGCCGUAGCUGAGUGGUAUCGGAAAUGAACUGCAGAAUUGGAUAGUUAUUGGGGAGACAUUAUGCGUGUGUUAGCGAUUAAUAGUUAACAAGAUCAGGACGGAUGUCUAUUAAAAUUUUUAUAACACAACCUGAAGAAUAAUUUUUUAUCAGCCACCAUUUACUUUGACUUUAUGAUAUGUCAUCUUUGAAGCAGAACUUUUAUAAUACUAACGUAUAUUGCAUUUGCGUAUGUAGUGUGAUUGCAUGUCAAAUUUAUUUUUUUUGUUUAAAUAAACAGUAGUAAUUAUAUUUUAUUUUGUUAAUAAUAACAGAUAAAGUUCACACUUGUUAAAUUCUUCACCAAAACGUACUGCAAAAUUGCAUGCACAUUUUUGUUUCUAGUUGUUCUUAUUUGAAGACAAAAUAGUCAUUUUAAUCAAACAGUAGGUGUGAUCAUACUAUUUUGCUCAUCUUCUGUUUUAGAUUUGUUAAAGGUACACAUGGCAAAUAUGUCUACUAUGUUUCAUGUAGUUGCACAGAUGCGCCGGUAUUUUUAACCCAUAACUGAUCGAUUAUGUGUUUAGUAAAGAUUGAUUCAACCAA